rnacentral:rRNA from 1 species
UACGGAGGAUGCAAGCGUUAUCCGGAAUGAUUGGGUGUAAAGGGUCCGCAGGUGGCAAUGUGUGUCUGCUGUCAAAGAAUGAGGCUUAACCUCAUCAAGGCAGUGGAAACUACAUAGCUAGAGUACGGUCGGGGUAGAAGGAAUUCCUGGUGUAGCGGUGAAAUGCGUAGAGAUCAGGAAGAACACCGGUGGCGAAAGCGUUCUGCUAGACCUGUACUGACACUGAGGGACGAAAGCUAGGGGAGCGAAUGGG